UCGAGAAAAAAAACUAGACGCGUCUCAAAAAUCUCUGAGCAAAAAGCUUGUUCAAUCCCAGCAGAUCAAGCCCGCGUCCAUGGCCGAACAGGAAGAAGCAAACCAACAAAUCUGCGAUAUUUGUUUGCUCCGUUUCUCUACUUGUUGUUUUCUUCGUCGUGUUCGUCUUCUUCAUUACUUACCCCGAGAUACCCAAGUCCCUCCCUGUUCUCGAUCUCUGCAUUUUCUGGAUCCGUCCAAUUCCCGAUCAGAGAUACUAACUCGAACUCUUCUAGGUCAGAAGUUUCUCUGGUACGCUCCUCACUGUGGAUACAGCAAUCAGCUAUCGGAAUUUAAGAAUGCGGUUCUUAUGGCGGGAAUUCUUAAUCGGACCCUAAUUUUUCCUCCGAUUCUGGAUCCUAAAUUUUUGGGUUUUGAACCUCAGCGAGAUACGAAUCUCUGUUUGAGGAGGAAAAUCUCUUUUUUCGUUAUGGGUUUUAGUAAAAUUAAUCAUUGUGGCUCAAGAAUUUUGGUGUCUCGAUGGCUGAUAUUGAUCUCAGGUACUUCGCUUCACUACUGUGUGCAAUGUGCAGCUGUUUGCAGCUGUGCGUCAUUGAAUUCUGUUGGUACUGCAGGAUCUUCAAUAGCUGAUAGUGUGGAGAUGAUGAGGAAAUACAAUGCUUGUAGUAGUAGUUGAACUCAGACUGCAUUUCUAUGAUUCUUGUUUCCAGAUUGGAUUCAUCUGCUGGAUGAGCCAAUGUGGAGUGAUUUGAUCAAGUUUUGCUGUUCUUUGUAUAGAGAUAGAUCUGUCAUCUGUCUCCACUUGAGUCUGGAUAGUGUGGCUAUUUGUUAUCUGGAGUUCGUGGUAAUCUAGAUAAAUGUUUGUAUGCUGUUGAUGAAGAUUGUAGAACCACAGUUUGGACGUAUAAAAACCGACAUUUGUUCCAGCCCGAUGAGAAGGCGCCUUCACGUGUAUAAGACUAUUGGACAUGGUACAGCAGCCGAGUCUGCACUCUGCAGAAACCAUUAAGGCACCGUUUCUUUGUGCACAGCUUAGACUGCUAGAUGGCCAGUUCAAGAAUCAUAUGAACCAGAAGUUGGAAUCUUUGAGCUUGAAGAAUCCUGGUCCAGUUCAUGUGUUUGUAACGUACUGACCUUCCUGAAAGCAACUGGACUGAAACUUACUUGGGUGAUUUGUCUAAGAACUCUACACAUUUCCUGAGGGAACAAGAUGAACUAUUAGUGCAAACACAACAGGAACUUGCUUCCGCCUGUCACGGCCAUUUUCUUCUCCCAAGUGAUGAACAUCAAGUUCUUGGUUUAUUCAUAUGUAUACCUACCUCCAAACUUUCAUCAUUCCUUGGACUGUGUUGAGUCGCAUGUCUGCAACAUUUGUUGCCUUCGAGCAGAGUCCUAUCCCGUAUUAUGACAAGAAAUUUUUGGUCUGUUACGCUGUUUGGUGGGAGAUAACAUCAAGUCUUGGGAUAAGGUGCUUUGUCAAGCGGAGUUUGCGCAUAAUCGGGCUGUGAAUCGUAGUACCGGUUUUAGUCCUUUUCAGGUGAUUUAUGGCUGAUUGCCACGAUGUCCUUCUGACCUCAAUCUUGCUCCUGAUCGCACUAGAUUUCUUGGUCGUGCUUGUGACUUUGUCGACGAAUUUGCUUCCAUUCAUCAACAAGUUCAUGCUAAUUUGGAAUCUUCCACGACUACAUACAAGGCGGCUGCAGAUGUGACGUUGAUCGACGUGACGUUGAUUUCAAAGUUGGCGAUUUGGUAUGGGGGGUUGUAACUAAAGAUCGUUUUAAGCCGGGUACGUUCAAUAAGGUCAAAGCGCGAAAGAUCUGUCCACUUGAGAUCCUCGAGAAGAUUAACAACAGUGCUUAUCGUCUUCGUCUUCCUCCACACAUGCGCACGGCUGAUGUGUUCAAUGUCAAGCAUUUGGUUCUUUAUAUUGCUAGUGCCUAGUGAUGAUGCGGAAAAUUCAGGGACGAAUUGUCUUCUUACCCCGGGCGACCUGAUGUACCUUCCUUUUUCCUUUUAAGUCUUCUACUGUACAAUUUCUUCUUUAUUCUUGGGCUUUCGUUUAUGAUGUUAAUUAUGUUGGUUAUUUGUUGCUUUGGGCCCAAGUCUCGACUAGGGUUUUAUUAUUUAGCUGGUAUAAAUACUCUUAACCUUGUAAGAGAUACUGUGGUUGUUUUUGAAUAAGAAAACAGAGAAGCUUUCUCUAUCUCAA